rnacentral:lncRNA from 1 species
AUAAACAGGAAGUAUAACUGAGAUAACACUAAUGACAUCAUAAACAUACUUUUACUCGUGCAAGUCCUCAUCUAAACUUGGUCCCUCUUUUAUAGGUGCAAGUCUCCUUUUCUUAGUGGCCUGCUGCACACCGGUACCCGAGCCGUCACAAAUACAUUGCACUGGCGCACAGGCUGCAGACCUAUCUUCAAGUGCAUCACAAUUUCGGGGAGGUGUUCCACAAUUCUUGGAAAAUGUGUUGUUUCUAUUAAGCAUAUGAUCACUACUUGACGGCACCCGCAAGUCCACAAAUAAUUCCAAGUUACCCAGUGAUGAAAACUUAGGCUGAUGAUGAUCUAGUUUCACUUCCAUACUGAGAUUUGUUCCAAUUUUACUAUGAAUUGCGUUUUUUGAUUUAAGCAAAUCAUCAGAUGCACAGAUUGAUUCUUUGGAUGAGUCAGUGUCCAUAAGCACAUUCUGACACAUAUUAGAUUCUCGAUUCCACAAAGGUUCUGCUCCAGAUUCCUUCGAUAAAUAAGCAACACAUGCUUCAGAAGUAGAUGUUUUAGGUUCCUGGAACCCAGUAGUUCCCAAUGACGGGCAGCAGGAAUGCUUAUAACUCUUAUCCUCUUGCUGUUUCAAAACAUAAUUAGAUACAAUAAUAAACUAUAGCAUGCAAUUUUCAAAAAUUAGAACAGUUCAGGUAACCCACUGUCUUAGAACCAGAACAUGCACAUAUUUUUAUAUCUAUUAGUAAGACUGUUUUCUUCACAAAAAAUAUUAGGAAAACAAUUAACUUGUUACAGAAUUCUGCAGAGCCUAGCCAAGCAUGCAAGUUCAAAUUUGUAUCACAUUACGGUGUUUGAAUAUGUUCAAGUUUUACAUAUACUGUACAUAGAUAUACUCAGAAUAUAUGACAGGUCAGACAAAUACUCAACAAAUCGAAAGAGCAAAUUGCAAGGUAGGCUAAGUGGUUAAGCAUCAGAAGGGGAACGCCAAUGAACUUUAAGUUUCCAUAGGUUCGCAACGAUACCACUUCCUAACAGAUAUCACUAACUUGGACCGAUAGGUGUAGUUUACAAUUUAAAACAUGGGAAUAGUGCUCAAGUCCAUUCAAACAUAAAUCUGCCACUAGAUAUGAAAACCAAUUACAGUAUCGAGUUUCAUCUGGUUCUUUCAUACUUUCUUCAAUACCUUUAUUUUGACAAUUUAGUCAACUUAGUAAUAAUUAAAAACUUUGCAUGUAAUGAAUUUAUAUGAUAUUUAUCAUUACAGAGCUACAACUACUAAAAUAACACAAACAAAAAUGUAAAUAUGAUAAUAAAUACGAGUACCAACUACUAAGAGACAUAUUAUAAUAAUAUAAUCAUUUCAUACAAAUUUGUAUAAUAGUAAUGCGAGAUUGAUAAAAUAAUAAUUAACUAUUAUUUGAAGAGAUUUAACAAACAUAUAUAAUAUAAUUAUAAAUAAUAUAUAUGUAUAAUAUAAUUUUAUUUGACAAUCACUAAUAUAUAUGUAUAUAUAAUAAUAUUGCGGUGCGGUGCGGUUUGAACCGCACUACUAAUAUGUCAAACCGCAAUCCGCACCGCACUGCGCGGUUUGUGAAAAAUUAUAAUAAUAUUGCGGUGCGGUGCGGUUUGAACCGCACUACUAAUAUGUCAAACCGCAAUCCGCACCGCACUGCGCGGUUUGUGAAAAAUUCAAACCGCAACCGCACCACGAAAAUUAAAACCCGCGUUUUGUGGUGCGGUUUGGUGCGGUGCGGGCGGUUUAUGCGGUGUGGGCGGUUUUUUGAUCAACCCUAAUUUGGUUGUACAACUGUCAAUGAUGAAUAUGUAAUGACUGCAUAUUUUAGUUUGAUAUUGGUCCAAAAAAUUCUGUAUCAGCGUCAUAACAUCACAGCAGAAAAGUCACUCUACCCUUCUUCCAACCAAUAAAGUUUACCGAAAGGCAACUCUUAGCAGUUUUCUAUUCAGAUAAUGAGGAUAAAAGUAGAACAUGUUACCACUAUAUCAUAAACAUAUCAACUCAUCCCACAAAGUUCUUAAUUAGACGCAAGUUGAAAAAAAGAGAGAAGUGUUGAAAAUAUAAAAUACCAGAAAAGCUAGAUACCCCAAAAGUUAUUCCAAAAAAUUUCCCAAAUGCUGAUGUGGGCAUAUAUAAAUGGUAACAUUUCUAUUAAUGAUAUUAGACCCCGACGCGUGUACAUACGUCCACAAAUCAAGACAAGCCACUUGUCUGCCACGUCAUUUGGGGAAGAAAAUUUGAACAAAAAUUUGGGGUACCUAGCACUACUCAUAAAAUACCUCUAAUGGUGGCAUGGCAUUACUGCACCCAGAUGGGGGCUCAACAUCCUGAGAGAGAGAUUCUACAGCAACUUCUUCCUUGGCAAGUCCUCUGGGAACGAAGCUAGAGCCAUUAACAGGUUGCAUACUCUCAGACACAUUCCUGAACUCCUCAGAGGGGGCUGUCUGCUCAAAAGCUUGACAGAAAGAUUCUGCCUCGGCUAGUCCUCUGGAAACGAAGCUAGAGCAAUUAACAGGUUGAAUAAUCUGAGACACAUUCCUAGACUCCUCAGAGGGGGCUGUCUGCUCAAAACCUUGACCCAAAGAUUCCACCGCAGCUUCUGCCUCAGCAGGUCUUCUGGAAACAAAGCCCAUCUUCCAACCAACAGAGUUUACAGAAAAGGCGACUGUUAGCAGCUUGCUAUUCAAAUAGAGAGGAUAAAAGUAGAACAUGUUACCAUUAUAUCAUGAACAUAUCAACCCAUCCCACUUCAUUCAUAAUCACAAGUUGAAGAAAAAGAGAACACUGUCAAGAUUAUAUAAUACCUCUAUUGGUGGCAUGGCAUUACUACAUUCAGAGUGGCCAUUCUGCUCAAAAUCUUGACAGCAAGAUUCUACAGCAGCUUCUGCCUUCGCAGUUCCUCUGGAAACAAAACCAAAGUCAUUAACAGGCUGAAUACUCUCAGAACCAUUCUUAAACUCCUCAGGGGGGGCUGUCUGAUCAAAAGCUUGACAGAAAGAUUCUACAGCAGUUUCUGCCUCAGCAGGUCCUCUAGAAACGAAGCCAGAGUCAUUAAAAAUUUGAAUACUCUCUGAGGUAUUCUUAAACUCCUCAGCGGGAGCAGUCCGCUCAAGAGGUUGACAAAAAGAUUCUACAGCAGCUUCUGCCUCAGCACGUCCUCUUGAAACGAAGCCUGAGUCAUUAGCAAAAUGAAUACUCUUAGAGGAGUUCUCAAACACCUCAGAGGGGGCUGACCUCUCAAAAUUUUGACAGAAAGAUUUUACUGCAGCUUCUGCCUUAGAGGCGGCUAUCUUCUCAGAUGCUUGACAGAAAGAUUCUACAGCAGCUUCUGCAUCAGAGGGGGCUGUCUGCUCAAAAGCUUGACAGAAAGAUUCUCCAGCAGUUUCUGCCUCAGAAGGGGUUGUCUUCUUAUAAGCUUGACAGAAAGAUUCUACGCCACCUUCUGCCUUAGUCUUCUCAAAAUCUUGACAGAAAGAUUCUACAGCAGCUUCUGCCCUAGUCCUCUCAAAAGCUCCACACAAAGAUUCUACAGCAGCUUCUGCCUCACCAGGUCCUCUUAAAAUGAAGCCAGAGACAUUAGCAGAUUGAAUACUAUCAGCUAAAGAUGAAUGUAACAAGCCUAAUUCAAGCCUCUGUCCAUCUUCUGAACAAGGUACACUUUCAUGGACAACCUUUGAAAAACUGCUUCCGUCCCAGAGGAACUCUGAAGUAGUUCUAUCUUUAUCAACAGAUUUAAGAUACAUGGAGGUACACUUCUCAUCUUCUCCAUUGCUUGGAGACGGUUCAGAAGAACCAUCAUCUAACAUAUCAUAUAUAAGUCUUUGGAUAUAGGCUCGCUUAAGAGAAGCUUCAGCAGGUUGAAACCAAUUAGCAGUAAGCUGAAAUCAAAUAAAUCCAUUUACAUUAAACUACAUAAGGUUGAAACAAUAAUAAAAACUUCAAUGGGUUAUGAUCUAUCGCAUUUUCCUACGGAAGCAAAGGAAGUAACACGUUAAGAGCCAAUAGUUGAGCUUGAACAUCAUACAAACAAAAGUUCAGUUUAGAAUUGUAAGUCCAAAAAAGGGAUAUACAUGUUAAUAUGCCAGAACAAAUCUUCAAAAGGCUCAAUAAGGGAUGAAGAAGAUUCGACUCAUUUAGUUAUUUAAUAGUUAAAAUCAAACAGAUACUCACUUCCCUACACACACCCGCACUCACGGAGCUUAGAAAGCUCAUUGAGUUUCAUACAUAUAUCCAUAGAUAAGACUCUUAUUGGUUUGACCUUAAAAGUCAAAGAUACAUAAAUUGAAAAUACUAACAGUGGAAAAUUACUGUUGAUACAAUGUACCAUGGUAAAAAUGAUGUGAUCAACAUUAACAGAGCUCAAAACCAAAAGCAAGAUAUGAAAGGAGGGAGAAUGGAGUGAAGUUCACUUACGAAGUUAGAAAAACUUGAGAUUUUAAGAGGAUUGAAAUUAACAAGAUUUCCUUCCAAAAAGAGUUCCACAUAGUGCAGCAAGAAGAGUCCACAGUCGUAUAAAUUUUGCUGCUGCGGGAGCUGCACAACAACAAAACUAACCUUAAGCCUGAAGAAACUCAUUUCAAAUAAAGUUGUGCCACAAUCUCAUUAAGCCACACAUAGAAAAACAGAUAAAUCACCUCAAGUGAGAAGAAUCUCAUAUUUGAAAAUUUUAAAAAGAUAUCCUCAGAUGAAUCCGCGUGCCGCUCCUUCCAUUCUUCCCACAAAUAACUAUGGUUUUAAGUCCAUGAAACAAGUUAAUAUAUAUAUUAAAACUUCACAUUAAUAUGAGACAGGAAUGUGCUUAUACAGUUACACAGGAGAAUUUCGUGUGUGUAUGAGCUUUCACACUGAUACCCAAAACUCAAAGCUGGACACCCAAAAUAGCAAAGAAACAUUUGCCCUUUACUCAGAGACAACAGUAGUUCCAUCAAUAAAAAUUAUAAAGUUCAAUAUUAUCUCUUUGACUAUAUUUGAGAGCAAACAUAAAUAAUAUAAUAAUACAUGUAAUCGAAGUGCCAAAUACUUGAAAAAUAAACAGACACCUGACCCAGAUCUAGAAUAGAACUGCAUUGUCUCACUUCAUAAUAAGCAUAAAAGCUGACCACAGAAGGAGGGAUUAGUAUAUUAAUUCAGAGUGGUAAAUCUCUUCAAGUUGUUCAAGCAUCUAAAACUAAAAUGAGAGCAGAAAAAACUUAAGUUGUAUAAACUUUCCCUGAGAACUGUUACGCCCUAUGUUCACUGAAAGUGUCACGUAACUUCCAAACAAAUAACAAUGAAAAAAAGAGAUAUAAACCAAUGACCUCUUGGUCAGAUGGUAUCAUCCUUGCUCGGUUUAGCGUAGGUCAAGGGUUUAAAUCGUGUCAAACACAAAAUGGGUCUGCGAGUGUGUUUAAUUAUUAAUAAAAAAGAUAUAUAAUUCAGACAUGUGCCUGAAUAGGCACACAGGUACUUCAUAAAAUAAAUUUAACCACUAAAAGAAAAAAAACUAUGUACUUCUAUAAGAGAUGGCCUAUUGAAAAAAACACGCAGACCACCUAAUUGUCUAUAAAACUGAUAAUGGUAUCAACAAGCUAAGUUCAGCUAUAUUACAUUUAAAACCAAUAGCUCUUACAGCACAAAUUCUGAUUUUAGGUAUUUUAAUCUACCAAUUGAACUAUAAUUUGAGACAUGACAAUACAACAAUGUAGAUGAAAAGGGAGUAUACACCAAGAACUUCGGCUAUAAUCUGAGCCCGGAGGUACUCCCUUUAGGGCACAUACAUGUCUGGGAAAACUCUAGUCAUCUUUGCUGUAAGUCUUGCCAGCUUCCUCGUCUAAAUUUUACAAUACCAACAAUUUUUUAUUUUUUUUUAAUUUCUCCAGAAGCUAAUAUUUGAGAAUCACUACCCUCACAAUCCUCCACAGUGAAAAGCAAUUUGGAAAAUAUUAUAACAAUAAUCGCCCUCUCUCAAGGAUUAUGCAGUCAAAGUUUCCUACCCAAAAUGGGUUAUGAAACAAAACAAUUUUUAGAGUUCUAGAUAUCCAACACAGGCAACAAAAAGAGAAAGUUCAACCAACCAAGAGCAUUCAUAGAAAUAUUAUGCAACCCGUAAACUACUAACAUCCAUUAAAACACACACACACACACACACACACACACACACAUAUAUAUAUAUAUAUAUAUAUACACACUAAAAACUCUAUAAAUUAAUAAUGUUGGGACCGGAGAAUUUUAUUAAUUUAGAGAGUUAUUAAUUUAUCAAUAAAUUAAUAAUUAUUAAUUAAAAGAGUUUUUAAUCGAUUAUACUAUACAUACCAAACAAAAAGGCAUACUGUAUAUAAAUUAAUAUACCAAACAAAAAGACAAAUUAGUCUAUGCCUCUUAGAAUUACACUGAACCUUGGGAAUCAACGUAAAUUAGUAACUACUAUGUUGAUAUAAUGAUAUGUAUUAAAAUCAAUAAUGACUUUUGAAGUACUGUACAUAAAAUAUAAAUAAGGGGUCGUUUGGUUCAUGGGUAUGUGGAAUCAGGUAUGGGGUUUGUCCAUUCCAAACCCAUACCUGGUGUUUGGUUGGUAAAAAUAUAAUCUCAAACCCAUACCUUAAACCCGCAAGGUAUGAGUUUUUGAUACCUAGGUGGGGAGGUGGGUAUGAGAUGGAGGUAUGGGUAUCCAUUCAUUUUUGAUUUUUUUGUCUCUAUUUAAGUAAUCAAAUAUUUUUAUACAAAAUUAAAUCAAUGAUGCAAAAAUAUAUAACAAUAGUAAUAAUUUUAUUAAUUUUUUCAAUUAAUAUAAAUUAAUAACUUAUUUUUUACAAAAAUUGCAUAUAUUGAUUCCAGCACUCAACCAAACACAUGAUAUCAUAUAUGAUACCUCAAACCCAUACCAGCUUAACCCGAUUCCUCAUUCCAACCCGAUACCACUCUUCGAACCAAACGACCCCUUAGAGGAAUAGAUGUGUUCAAUAUAUUCUUAAGCAAGUUUGGCAUAUAUAAAUUACAUAAAUUACAUAAAUAUGUUAAAAUAUUCAAAUUAUAUCUCACAAGAUGGCUUCUCAUCUAAGAGGUGUUGCGAAAUCUAAAAGGAAAACAGACAACUAUUAAAUCAUAUUUCAAUAGAAUGUAAUAUAUUUUUUUAAGUUUCUAUAAAUUAAUAAUUUAAGAUUUUCUUGGGACCGAAAAUUAUAAAGGGAUCUCCCAAAAAAUUAUUAUCUUAUUAUUUUAUCGAAUUUUUCAGUUUUUUAUAUUGGCCCAAGUCGGGACCGGACAAAGUUAUUAUUUUAGAUAGUUUAUUAAUUUAAAGAGUUUCUCCUGUAUAUAUAUAUAUGUGUGUGUGUGUGUGUGUCUAUAUAUAUAUAUAUAUAUAUAUAUAUAUAUACAUAUCACUACGUUAAUUUUCUCCACAGAAAUUAAUGUACGAUUGUAUAAUAUAGUAUUGGCCUUUUUUAUUUGAUACUACUUGCUUUUACUGUACAGCAUCACCAAGUAUCAUUUAUUAGAGGCACAAAUUCACUCUCAUUCUUAACAUAACACAAUUAUCUCUCUAUCUGAUCAAAAUCUAUAUCGUGUUUUAGCACGGUCAGUUGAUCAUAAAAAAGAGCAAGAGGGUAUAUAGUAUAACAUAAAAAGUUGCCCUUCACAACCUAGCUAAAGUCAUUUAUAAUGACACCUUACACUAUGAUCAAUUUAACUUCACUCACUCUACUUGAACAAAUGAGAACAUCUGCUCCUAUUCUAAUCUCUCUUUCAGCAGUGUCAGUAACAUUCUUAAUAGCGCCAUCUUCUCAGGCCCACUCAAACUACAUCUUCUCAGGCUGACGCAAUCCUAAACACUGCCACCACAGUAUAUAAGCAUAGAGUGAGAGGGGUUCGACAUGUCACCAUCAUUAGGAACGAUCAGAGUAUCCUCGACAGGGUAAUCACAAGCCGUCUUAGAAGUACCAUCUGUGAGCAAUACAUGCUCAUUUAGGUGGAUUAGUUACAUUAGUAUACUGAUUGUCGAGUCACACCUCCCUAGCCAUGUCACCGUGUGCAACAUGCGUUCUCUAAAAACAUAUCCGACUAGGUUGAUUGUGACGAUUAUCGUGAGGCUUCUCACAAAGAAGAGAAAGGCUGAUUGGACAGAUGACAUAUCUCACCAGAUCCAAAAGCUCAAGCUGCACUCUGACGGCUGGAGCUUAGAAAUGUGACAUCCAUUAUGUGUUUCCCCCAGUUGCAAUGUAUCUGGUGAGAUACGUCUUCCGUCCAAUCAACUAUUCGACUUAGUAAGCAAGCUCAAGGAUUAAUACAAUGGCUAUGAACCUUUCAUACAACAGGCUGAUAAUAGCCCUAAACAUGUAACUAGUUUUGUUUAUAUAUGUAAAAUCAUCUAAAGGAAUACAACGAUUUACACAGAAGAAUUCUUAUACAAAUCGAAUUAUGAUAAUGCAGGCAAGAAAAAUAGAAUAGAAAUCCCCCAAGACAAGUUUGGGUCGGUCGGAAUUAAGCUAUAUCCAAUUCUAGCAAUUUAAUCAUCAUUUUAAUAGGUUUACCUAGUCGAGCAAUUCUAAAUUAACAAAAGUUACAAAACAUUAUAACUAAAUAUGCAAAUAACACAUCAUGCAUAUACCUCUGAAUAAGCCCCUUCAGACCAGAAUGACUUCCUCGGAUAGAAUCCAUAUGCAAUAUGCAUGGCAACUUUAAAGAUUUCCUCGCAUCUGAAUCUGAUUAAUCACAAGUACAAUAUUAGAUAAUAUUCUGUAUUUGUGUAAGAAAUUAUUCACGGCUUAACACAGAAGUAACUUGCCUUGAAAGUCAGCAACUUCACCAGGAUGGCAUAUCACUAUAAGACUCCAGUGGUAACUGUCAUCAAAAGCAUACAUUUUGCAAAAACCUUAAUAUAAAACGGAAAUCUUCAGUUAGGACAGCUGGCUUUCAGAACUUACUUGAAAUUUACGGGAACAAAGAUGUAAUCCUUCUCAAAUAAACUAAUUUUUCGUGUCCAUCUACGAACACUCCGAAAUGCAGCUCGGCCUUCAACAAAACUAGAUAGACUUUUGCCAAGUUCAGCCAGUUUUGGAUAGAAAAAACUGUUGAAAAAGUGAAAUCUGUGUCUCUCGCUGGGGUCGAUUUUAUUCUUCAAGUAUCUAGACACCAAUCAAGACAUUCAUUAGAGCAUUUAAAAAGAAAUAUCAGAGUUGGUAUAUCGUUAUGAUGCUAUACAAUGACAUUUUGUUUAAAACGAAUUACAAGUCCUGUUAAAUAUAUAAAUAUUAUCAUAAUUUCUGUACUGAAUGAAGAAUUAGGCAUGGGCUGGACCUGGUUUCUGGUAAUACCAUUACUUAUAAUUUAGAAUCUUUUGACAUAUAAUAAUUUUAAUAAAUUUGUGGCUCAACGAAGCCAACCUCUAAUAUAAGUAGUACAUCUGAACCACCUAGCAUAAUCUCAUCAAGCUGUACAACUCAUAGAAAUAUAUCGAGCGACUGCAAGUAUAAGAUAACAAUAUUAUCGAGAGCAUUACUUAAGAGCUAGUAACAAAAAAGUGAACUCUUAAAUAAAUGCUUCUUCAAGAGCAUUACUUACAAAAUACUCGCAUAAAGUUAUAUAUAAAACAAUUAAUAUAUAUAACAAUUACCGCCGAUGUGUUAUAUCCUUAUUACAAUACUAUCUAAUAAAUUUUUGAAGUCUCAUAAAAUAAAAGUAUUAAAUACAUGAAACAGGAUAAACAUAAGUAUAUCAUGGGGGGAAAACCAAUAAUUGAAUAAACCAACUUGUCUAAUGGUUUCAUUUUCUUUAUUCUGUGUGUGCCAAAGAUAACAUCUUUUGUAGAAAAUUUCUCUUAAAUUUGUGUUCAGGGUCUUGAAAACUUCUCAAAGUCUAUUAACUAUAUAAUUAUAUUACAUUUGAACUUGUGAAGAGUAAAGAAACAACAGGAUGAUAAAAUGGAUAUCAAAAGAUUGGUGAUGUUAAUUUUACCAAAAAAAUAUCUGUGAGGUACAGGAAGAAGCUUUCACUCUUACCAACAUAGAGCCAUGUUAUACACCGUUUUAACACAAAUGUUCAUCUGAGUGAAAACUAAUAUUUGUAGAUGAGAGGUAAGAACCCAGAGAAACACAAGUUGUGAUUCAGAAACAAUUACACAAGUUUCAAUCUACCAUGCUUUCCAGUUUUCUUCUGAAAAUAAUUAGAGAAGGAAAAUUCAAGAGUAUUAUCUAUCAUCACACAACAAAAAGAGAAGAUAGCUGAUGUGCACAGACUCUUGAGAAGGUGAAAUGAAACAAACUUACUUAAUAUAGAAGUCGAUAAUUGUAUCAUUGACAAAUAUCUCUGGUUCUAGCCGAUCAACGUCUCUCUUACUUAUAGACACAGCAUCUGGAUCCCCUUUCGGAUAUAUAACAUCUUCAAAAGAGUCCUCGAAACUGAAAUAUUUUGAAGAAAGCAAUAAUCAAAUUUUAUUUUAUUUUUUUGGUAUGGGCAAUUACGAUAACCUAAAUACCCACAGACACGUACCACCCUCGUCCUCUACUUUUCAAUAGCAUGAAUACAAAUAAAAGGAUCGCAAGGUGGGGCUUGUGUCAAAUUCCAGAAAAAACAGCAUUUACCCACUUUCAAGACCCUUCAUCCUAGACAUCCAACUCACAAGGCGCUUAUAUGAUCACACUAAGACUAAGAGAUUAUGAGAAAGCUAACACUCAAACAUCAAACCUAGUAUAGAUCCUUGACAAAAAAAAUCUCAACUUCAAACUCCUUUACAUAACUCCAAAUUGUCACAUUAACUCCAAAAAAUAAUGUUGUACAGAUCCAAUCAAUUACAUAACUUAUGUUAAAGUUUAGAUAAAUGACCUCCCUCCUAAUAUGAUAAUUAAAUGCAUUUUACCAUAAAUCCCACGGGUAGAUUUCUAAUUACUAGUACAAACAAGGUGAUAAAAAAAUUCUGCGAAUAGCAUACAACAAGAGCAUUAGCAACUCAAACUUAAAUUUGUGACAAGGACUACAAAUAUUUAUAGGAAAUGCCCUUUCCAUAUUUAUAAAACUCGAACAGGAAUAUUUAAGAUUAAAAAAAAAAAGAAUUAAAAUGCUCAAAAUGUUUCAUAUAAUAACAGUUCCUCCAUUGAGGAAAGAAAAAACACAAUCAUAGAAGUUCAAGUUGUUCAACCUGACAAGUAACAUCAAAAUAUUACCAUUCUUACGUUGCAUUAAAAAAGUACAAUUUUCGCUCAUUUUCAGGACAUGGGAUGCAAAUGAAUGAAUGUUUAUUGAUUGUAUCAUUAUAAAAUUAGCACAAGAAGCUUCUGAAAUAAUAAUAAAGAAUAGUUCAUAAUGUGUCUUCACAUAGUAGUUCCUCCAUUGAGGAAAGAAAAACUCAACUUCAAUGCUAACAUGAGAAUGCAGGAUUCCCCACUUAAAGGUUGCUAUUUGGUCUUCUGAAAAGCCAGCUAUAGUUGAUGUGGGUAGAGGCAUAUUGUUAUGAUUAAAGAUGAUUAACUUUAUUAUCUCCACUGUCCAGACUGAGGUGCAUGGCAUUUUGGUACUGCAGAAGAUCUUAUGGAUGAACGAUUGAUAUUCAAUAGAUCUCCGAUCAAGUGUGUGGAAGGAUUCUUCUCAUCAAUUUAUCCCAGAACACUCCCUUAUACAUGCAAGUCAAGACGGAGCUUCUAACUACACGUAUAAUAUAUUAUUGCAGUACAAGUAAUCAGGAUAACGUAUUCAUUUGUUUGAAAUACGAAUAUCAGAAAAAGAAAAGUAGAUAUAAGGUAGAGCCUGAGUGUCACAACUCACAAUUAAAUAAGCAUAACUACACCAGAGAACAUCAUAAAUAUAGCCUAGAACACAAUAGAGACUUCAAGCGACAGAAAACUAUAAUUUACAGCAGAACCUUGGGAUAAACAAAUGCUGAUUUUGAAAGGAGAGUUGCCUCUAUAAGAGCAGAGCAUGAUUAGUUGAUUACAAUCACUUACGAAGGAAAAUAGUGUUUCAAAGGGAAUAUUUUGCUCUGACCAGGUAACACCUUUGCAUCCCUCUCCAUAUCAGAACUACAAAAAAGCAAAUCAAUAACAAUGUAUUAAUAACCAAAAAAAAAAAAGCGGCUAUUUCGCAAAAAUUAUAAUAACAUCAUCAAAGAUCCCUCGACGAUUAGAAGAAAAGAAAUGCUUCUAGCCCAAAAAUCACAUAUUCUAUAUAUUUAUAUAUAUUUAUAUUACCUGUUUUGUAUAUUUAAUGGUAAAUGUUAUAUUGUCCAAGAAAAAAAGAAAAGGCCACUGUUUUGUAAAUGUUAUAUUGCCCAAGAAAAAAAAAUGAAACAUGUAAAAUGAUGUUGGAAAGAAAAUUUCAAAUGAUGUUGAAAAGAAAAUGUUGUGCAAUAUGCCAAAACAGCAUCUAGUAGCAAUCCAAUCAUAGUCGAUUUAUAUAUAUAAGAAUCAAUGUGUGAGUCUGGUUUUGCUCAAAUCAACCCAAAUUCCAACUCCAUUGCUCAAUUAAUAACUGCCAUAGCUUCCACUAGAAUACAAUCGCCUAAGCAACUCAAGAUGCCUCAAGUCAAGGCUCUGUCUAGAAGUUCCACAAAUUCCAAAGCCAGCAUUAUAAUAUCUGAAAACUAUUAUUCGUGAUCAUCACCGUGCUCUGCUUGGAAUAAGAAAAGCAGACUGGUUGGACACAAAAAUAGGAAAAAGAUUAAUCUUUGGUCGCUUAAAAGAAAGUAAUACCCAACCUAACGCACAACGAUGGCAACAAUGACGGCUGAAAAGUAUAUUUUAUUAUAAAACACAUGUAUACAUGCAUAUCCAAUUUCCUCACAUCCAAAAUCAUAAUAAGCAGCUCAUGGUAUCUUACCUUAGCACAAUGUUCCACAAAGGCUGGUAGACAUCCAGAGACAUAAUCUCAUCCUGUUUUCUGUACCAGUCUUCAACAAUUGCAAACUUGAACUCCUCAAAACCUUUAUAAGUUUGCCACAUUAAUCACCGUUGUCUAUCUAAAAAAAUACUUACGAAACAGAAAAGGUAUAAAAUCAAAUGUAAAUACUCAGCAACUUUACUUGGUUUGCCGUAUUAAUUACAUAUGUUUAUCCAAAUAAAUACUUGAAAAACAGAAAAAGUAUAGAAUAAAUGUAAUACAGGUUUAUCUUUUUAGUUUAUAAGUUCAGAGUUGGGAUUAUUAAUUUAAUAUAAUACAUACACUUUGAUUACCUUUGAUGUAUCUGAAUCUCUGAUCUGUUACACAGAACGUGAUCAUACGGGUAUGUGGGAAGUCACGACGAACAUAAGUUAAAACGCAAGUUGCUACAACAGGUGGUACAAGUAGGCAAAUAGAGGUAUGUGAAUGUUGCCUCUUAUAAAGCUGAUGUGAGGACCCCGAAAUCGCAUAUGAAGGUUAAUACGAGGACCAGCUAAUAGUUAUCCUUGAUUUUUUAAACAUUGUAUACAGAAAUAAUCAUAGCACGAGUAUAUUACUUUAAGUCUACCAACAUAAACUUAAUCAUAAGUAUUGAUUUACAUGAAAUUAAAGAAAAGAAGAAAUAAUCAUAGCACAAGUUGUUACUUUAAGUCUACCAACAUAAACAUAAUCAUAAGUAUUGAUUUACAUGAAAUAAAAAAAAAGAAGAAAUAUAGUUGCCGGAGGAGAAUCUGCAGUGUUUGAUAGAGUCUCUUACAAAAUGUAAGAAAUAAUUCUAACCCAAAAAAUUAUUAGGGCGGCAUUGAGAACUGACCAACUAAUCCCUUGAGUGUCUUUCAAAAUUAAGAGGUAUAGAUAUAUGAGGUGUGAUAAAUAAAUAAGUUACGGAGAAAAGGUUAAGCUAUUUUGGAAUGUUGAUGAAAUCUAGAAAGUCCUACUUCCUAAGGAAGGUAGACAUAGGAGCCUAACAUAUAAUGGUGAAUAAGUCCUGUGUAAACAUAAAAACACUAGUACUGUAAGUACUCAAGAAUAGUUUAUGCACCAUAGCAAGUUCAAUCAUUUAUUGGGAUUCAAGUCUAAAACCAUGGUGCACAUUCAAGAAUCAAGAUCAAGUAGGAAAAUACAAGAAACAAAAGAUGUCAUGUAAAAUAUGGAAUUUACUAAGAACUACUACUCUUCUGAUUAUACUCAUCUAGAACCCAAGAUAUAAGGGUGUUAAUGUAAGUCGACAGCACCAAUGAAAAAAGAAACUUUUCCUUUGCAAGUGAAUCAAAAAUAAUGCAAGGAAAAUAUAGUCACGAGUUGCAUUGCCGAACCUGUAUGUCCGUGUACGUCUUCGGUUGGUGCUAUUCCUUUUGAAUUCACUCUGAUUAUUACAGUUGCCAAUUCAAGCUAACAUAAAUUAUGAUACAAGUGUUAGAUUUUGGUGCCAAAUGAGGCAAAAAAACAAAUGUAACAAAUUAUCAAAUUUUUAAAUGCAUCUAGUAACUUACUCUCUCACACCACUGACAUUCAAUAUUCAUGAUAUGAUCAACUCCCCACUGAAAUUCAAAUGUUUCAGCUUUCCAAUAUCCCUCUAUCUUAAUGCAACUGCUUGAAAAGGUUACCACAGAGUCUGUAGAAUAUUUAUCACGAUAUACAAUAUAAUCAGGGAGACAUUCAACAACAGCAUCCCCACCAUCCUGCGAUCACAUGGAAAAGUGUUCACAAUAAACAAACAGCGAACAGAAAAAAACAAGUAAUGAUAUCACAAUUCACAGCGACCAAAGUAUAUCUUUAACAAUAAUAAACAUAAAGAAACCAUGGAGGACAUAUUUAAAUAACCUAAACAAGAAAUAUAUCAAAAAGGUCACCAGAUAACCUGAUUCCAAAACAUAGAGCAGCAACAAAUGAAGCACCUAUAUGGGUGCCAAAUCAGUGCUUAUUGCUUAUAAGUGAGAAAUGACUAUUAAGUGAAAAGUGACUUUUAAAUUAUGUGUUUGGACAAUUUUUUGGAUAUUUACAACUUAUUAGUUAUAAAAAUUAUUAAUAUAAAAUAAAAUGGGUCUUUCUAGUGUGUGCCCAUGGGCACACAUUAUACACUAAAUUUGAUGAGAUUGGUGGAUUGUAAUUGGUGGACUUGGUGUAAAUGCAGGGGGGGCAUCUUUAUUUAUGAUUAGAUGACCAAUAAAAAUGCACCAAACUCAUAGAAUUUAGUGUCUAUUGGGUGCCCAUGGGCACACCAUAGAAAAACCGAAAUAAAAUAUCAUAAAUUGUCUUUUAAAGUGAUUCUAUACAGUUGUGUAAAGUCAAAUUUUUUAUAAAAAAAAAAAAUAAGUCACCAAAAGAAGCUGGCAUCAUCAACUUCUCAGCUUCUAGCUUAUAAGUCGGAAGUAGAAACUGAAAAAUAAAACGCAGCUGAUAAACAAGCACUUAGACUUUAAACAUAUUUACUGUUGUGUAAAAACUGAAUCGGUCCUUAACAAGCAUGAUCAUGAAGUUAAUUAGCAAAUUUCUGGAGAAAUGAUGAUAUAGCAAUAAGAAUUUUUUAAGCUUUAAUUAGUGCAUUAUACGUCUUGUAGUCUUUACAUGCUAAUUUUAGUAACAAAGUUUAUAGAACAGUCAACAGACUGCUUAAUGCAAUUAAAACUGUUAUCCGUGACGAAUUCAAUGUGAACUUUAGGCUAAUUCUAUGAUGAAAACAACGAUGAUGUGGUAAACAAAUGUAACUGUAUUUAUUAUAAGGUAACAUGAUUGGGGCACUUUAUCCUGUUGAUAUAUUUUUCCUCAACUGACGUAAAUAGACUGGAAAUAUCUUGCAAAUAAAUCAAGUUUUGUAACAGGCCUUGUUGAGCUCAAAAUUUGUCCUUUUAUAGAUCAUUAAAGCUAUAGAACAAACCCUCAUGUAGGAUAACCAUGAUUAUGGUGUACCAUCAUCGGAUCCAAUUAAUGACGAUAUACGAGAUAGAGAUGAACAUUAUAUAAUAUUUUAUUGAUUUUUCCUACCACUUAUGCUUUUAUUUGGUUGGACAUGGUUGAUAUUUGGUAUGUUGGUGCAAUUAUGUAAUAAAAAUGCUUAAGUUGAAGUUGCUACUCCAUUACUUUUGAUUAAAAUUACAAAAUUAAUGAGAUGGGUUAUACUUAUAUUGAUAUAACAAAAAUCAAUAACAAAAAUCGUUAUAUUGAUAUGGCAAAAAUAAUGAAGAAGUGCAUAUCAAAAUAUAGCUAAGGACAUCAAUUCGUUAAUAACAAAAAAUGUGUGCAUCAUGCAGAAACGAAAAACAAUAUAAACUGUUUACCGUUUGCCAAUCGUCAAAGCAAUGAUUUGAUAGUGGUUCAUCAAUGGAAUCUGAAAAAAUAGCAACAAAACAGUAAACAAGGAAGUGUAAGAAAAAAGAUACACUGUAAUUUAUCCCUAGGCAUUACAAUGAAUAUUCAAAUAUUAUGUUUGCCAGAAAUUUAAACCACAUAAGCACCAACGGGCAGCAGAAAAAUCAUAAACAAAACUGAACGAACACUGUGCAAAAUGUUAACCAACAAGAUGAGUAUUUAUUACCACCAUAACACAGCAGACCAAAAAAAAAAAAAAAUGGACCACACAUUGCAGGAAAAGUCAACCACAAAGAUGUGCCUAAAAAACACAUCACCGUGGCACGAAAUGCGCGUCUGUGAGGCGCACCCCACGAUAUGGGCAACAGGUGAUAUGCAUCCCAACGCGAUGAGAAAUUACAUACAAAAACAAUAAACUGUAAGGCUAUACCAGAGUAAUUUACAAUAUUUAGGUAUAACCAAAAAUUUGCCAAAACACGCAACGCUACACACGCUGCCAAAAACGUUAACCGCUGACAUGUGCAUAUAAUACACAACUCCGUAAUGCGGAACACAACCUGUAUCCGAAGACGUGAACAUCAUGUCGCGAUCAUCAUCGCCAAUGCCAUCAGCACACUCAUCCUGUAGAAACUUUCAAACCAAAAAUCAUCAACCACAAAAACACCUCAACAAAAACUCAGCGAAGUGUAGAAUUCAACUACCUUGUGAGUAGAAUCAAACGUAGGAGACUCUGGUCCGGGCUCAUCAUCGUCGUGUUCGGUGAAAUUCAUAUUGACAUGAAGUUCUGUAAAGCUUUUUGGUGAUGGAAUUAGGGUUUGGUGAGGAGAGAAGGUGAGAUUGAAGGUGUUUGAUUGGAUUAAAACAGGGUUCUGUUGGGAAAUUAGUGAGAUGAUUUAGAGGUUAAUUAGGGUUUUUGAGCUGUGAACUGUGAAAUUGUGAAGGGUUUUUGACCUUUGAGUUGCCUCGGAGCUUUCCCCAACGGUAAGAAUCUAAUAUACGCAGAUAAAUAAGAUAUGUUUAUAGUUUUCGCUGCUUCUUUUUUUUCACAAGUUUUUACUUUUUUCGUUUUAUGUGAGAUAUAUUUAUUUAUUUAUAUAAAAUUAUAGUUUAUUUUAGAAAUUAUUGCCUUUCUAAUUUUUUUUAAUAAGACUUUAUAAUGUGUAAUGAUAAGAAAAAAAUAAUUUAUAUGCAGAUAUUAUUUAUAUCAUUUUAGUUUUGAUUUUCUCAUGCAAAAAGUAAAAUUUGUUGUUGUUUUUAGAAUCCGGAUAAAGAGGUAACUUUUUGUUAGUUUACAAUUUAAAAAAUCAACUAAAAUAACAAGCGAAGUGCUGAAAUUUUAGCGAUUACAAGUCAUUCCAAGCUUUUCUUCAAAAGAUAAUUAAUUUAAUGGUGAAAAAUCCUACAACAUUUUUUUUGAAUAAAAGACAAGAUUUCCAUUAAGAAGGUAAAUCAUAUAAAAGAGUCUUCAUCAAGUAAGGAUGGGGAGAUCGACAAUUUAGCAAACAUGAAAUUCUAGCCAUCCAUCAAAAAAAAAAGGGGGGGAGACUGACAAUUUAGCAAACAUGGAAUUCUAGCCACUAGAUCAGCUACCUUGUAGAAACCCAUAUUAGACCCCAUAAGCUCUAGACACGUAUCGAUAAUGUGCCCUUCCUCAAACUGAUUAUCACAAUUUAGCAAACAUGGAAUUCUAGCCACUAGAUCAGCUACCUUGUAGAAACCCAUAUUAGACACCAUAAGCUCUAGACACGUAUCGAUAAUGUGCCCUUCCUCAAACUGAUUAUCACACUUGCGUCUAAUGGCCUGAAUGGUGAGAAGAGAGAGUGAUUCAAUAAGAAACCAUCCCUGGCAAACAAACAACCUUCCCAUUUACAAACUCUCCCUUGUGAUCAUGGAGAACCAUGCCGAUCGAAAAUUAGUCCGAGCCUGGCAUAACGGAGGCAUCAACAUCUUCAGCCAGCCUGUAUCCGGAGGAUUCCAUCUCUGAGGGUGGCCUGUCAUAGGAGAAAUAGUCAUAGUCUGCAUAGCUGCUCUGGUGUUUUUGGCAAUUUACCAGUCUGAGAAGAAUUUAGUACUCCAAUCCAUAGCAGUGGCAUGAGUAAUGGUCUUAUUUUCCCAGACCUUUUUAUUUCGGAAGAACCAUAUGCCUCAAAGCACUUUAACAAUCACAGUGAUCUCCUCCCCAGUAGCAAAACUAAGCUUCUGAACCAGCCAAUGUUGAGCAUUGUCAACAUACAGCAUAUCAAAUACACACCCAUGCAAAAAAUUAAUCGAACUUUCUUUUCAUCCAUGCAAAAAAUUAAAUUGAUUUGAACCAAGAUGCCAAGCAACUCGUUCUCGCACCGGAAUUCUAUUAACUAGAGUUCAGCGUAUGAUGAGCUUCUUCCUCAGCUGGUUCAAAAGAGAAAUGCUUUCCAAAUCCAAUUUCAUAUCAUAUCUGAUUCUUCAUCAUAGCCAAUAUCAUCAUGCAAGUAAUCAACCUAAAAGGAGUCAAAAUGCCAAUCCCUCCUAGCAAUGGCAAUGUCGACAAUCAAAAUUAUUUGAUACAAGAAAAGAUAUCCCAUUCAUGGUAUCACACCUUGCCCGACAGUAGUCAACUCUAAAAGAACCUAUAGUUGAUCAUCAGGCCAUCCUCUGCCUCAAAUUUAGUCUAUCACAAUCGAAAUGCAACUUCUAGGAGAACUUAUCUGAAAACCAGCUACAAUCUAUAUUAAAUUAAAUAGCUGACAAUUGAUGAGAGAACUGCCGGAGUUUAACUAAUGGAAAUUAAUACUGAUGGGUAAAGUUAAUAAUAACAGAGGUGAGAAUUCAUACAUAAUAUCUUCUGAUCGAGCUGACUAUUAUAUUAAAACAGACAUCCCAAUCAAUCCAUUUCAUAUUAUUUAAAAAGUACAAACACAGAUCUGCAUAAAUUCAGCCAGAAUGUUAUUUCAUCAAUUUUAGUGAACAUUCUAUGACGUCGUAGAUGCAGAACUAGAGAGCCUAAGGCAUUCACUCUGGCAUCUCUUGAGACAAGUAUCAUUCCAAUUGGGAACUUGGUGUUGAUUAACACAAACAGUUCGAGCACACGCAUCAGCACAAGCAUCGAGUUCAGAAACUCCACAAACAGUAACACAAGUAUCAGGAGUUGGUUCUUUAGAAAAUGCCCCAACCUUUUUUAACAUUCUCUUAGAUGUGCACACCCUUUCACAAACAAAUAUCUCAUCAGAGCUCUUCUCUCUCCCUCUUACACUUUUCAAUCUCUGCACCUCCGCACGCCUGUUCUUCAUCCUCCAUGCUUGACCUCCCACAACUGCCGGAACAGCCGCCCCCAAUACUGACCACCACCAAUCCACCAUUAUGUGCCCAGUUUACUCUCUCCAAUUUCUUUCUAACUUGUCUUUCUUCUGGUACAAACCUGUAUUUUGAGUAUAAAAUUAUUUAAUCAGGUAAUAGUAAUAAUGAAAACAAUAGAAGAACUGGUACAUUAUAAUCAUUCAAAUUAUAAUCAAGAACUAAUGCUUCCCUUGGUUGGAAGGAAUAAAAGCAGGUGCUAAUGAUCUGAAAUUUGUAAUAUGUAGUGUCUAAAGAUAUUCUUAAGAAAUUUCAUUUUUCAUAUCACUAUAUAAUUAGCGUGAGAAAUUUAAGUGGUUGAUCGUCUAGUAAGUACCGGAUCUCACACUGCUAAAAACAAGAAUAAGAAACAGUGAUAUAGUCCCCGUAAAAAUACAAAUAAAUAGAAAAUGUUCAGUAAUUCUACUUUUAUAUUUGUCAUAAUAUCUAUGAGUUUGAAAUGGGGUACAAGUAACAAAGCAGUAAAAUUUAAAAUAUUAUAAUAUAUCCUUAUAUGGUAAUAAAUAAAUUAAAGAUGUUUUAAAAAAAUAAAUAGCAGAUAAAAAUCAGAAGAGUAAACCAAAAAACUAAACAUUGAAUUAUUAAAAAAUUAAUAUUUAAUAGUAACUCGUGAUGUGCACAGGAUAUAAGCUAAUUAAUACAAAAUUAAUUAUACAGCUUCAUUCCACCAAUUCAGCCAUUCAGGGAUUAAUUCCUAUUCCUUCUUCCAACUAAUUUUUUUUUCACAAACCACAUCGAUCAUUUUAAAUGUUGGACUAUCUCCUUUCUUCCCUCUUACAUCCUUUCUUUCACGUUUAAAUUAAGAGUAAAUUGCAAAGUGAUGGCCGGACUUUACCCAUUUUAGCGUUUUAGCAUUAUAAUAAUUCUUCAAAAAAGUGGCUAAGGGUCACUUUUUGAAGGAAAAAGAGAGUAUUUUUUUACUCGGAAAUAGGCCCUUUAACAUAUACAAGACAUAAAAACAAGACAUGGUCACCAUAUUACAAAUUUGAAAUUUUGGCCACCAAAGUGCUAAACAGGGUCAAGUUUAGCCACAAACUCAAUAAUACACUCUUAAAUUAAUUAACAAACUUCCAAGUUAUUGCUUUUACACAACACACUAACUCUCUCUUUAGCCUGCUCCAAAUCCAAAUUUUACUGUGCAUCCAAACUGUUAUUUUAGCAAAUCCAUAUUUUUCCAAAUUAUGUCGUUCACUUUAGACUUUUGUCCUAAUUUUUGAUAUCAAACUAGUAGCUAGUAGCUAGAUAGUGUCAACGUUUAAACUAAACACUGUUUAUACGAUCCAUUACUAAAAUCCAGUGACCACCGCUAGACGCACAAAUAUUUCAGUAAAAUACAAAUCGAUUAUGAAUUAGGCAUAAAAUCACAAACCUGAGUCCAAAAUUUCGACGCCAUCUUGCGAAAACUUCUCUCAACAAAAAAAAAAAUUCAAAACAAAAACUGCACACAACAAAAUCAACCAAUCAAAAACGAAUCUUUAUCACACAAUAAUCGAUCAUUUACAUCACAAAACAAAUAUCGGUCAAAAUCUCUUUAAUUUGAACCCAAAAUCAGCAUGUGCGAGUGUGAAUAAACAGGAUAUUGCUUAACAAAUCUCGACGUAAACUAUAUAAUUGAAACACGAUAAGUGCACAUAAGAAAGAAUAAAGAUGCAAUCUUGACGGUGAAUAAAAAGAGAAAUUGUAUGGAGAUUGGUACCUUUGAGAGACUGAGCGGCGGCGAGGAGAAGCUAGGGUUUCGAGUGACAAAAGAGAAGGGGGUAUGAAUCAAUUUAUCUUUAUCGAUUGUUUCUUAUAUAACUGAAGUGUCCUGUUCCUUGCCAACCGGUUGCCGGGAAGGGGUUAUCUAACACACUGUACGGGGGCCAUUAGAUUUAGAUUUCAAGGGCUCAGAUCCAAUUUGAGUUUUCAAAGGAUCCGCUAUAAAUAACCGCGGAAGGGAAAUUUUCUUUUCCGCGGAUAUUAUCCGCGGAAUGGGAGUUCCCCUUUCCGCGGAUAAUAUCCGCGGAUGCAUUCCAAACUCAAAAUUGGAUUUGAGCCCUUGAAAUCUAAAUCUAAUGGCCCCGUACAGUGUGUUAGAUAAUCCUUUCCCGGCAACCGGUUGGCAAGGAACAGGACCCAUAACUGAAACAGAUAAAUCAGGGAAAUCAGGGAAAUAAAUUAAUAAUUGAUUUUGCGUUUGUUACUGUUUUUUCACUUAAGGUCAAAGAAAUUUUAUGUAUUGGAAUUUAUUUACUUUUUGCAAAAUAUGUUUAAGAAAUUUUAAUUAUAUUUAUACUUUCGCUCGAGACUAGCUUCGAUUAUGAUAUUUUGGAAUUUGCUUUUAAAAACAUUAGCAUAUUAAUAUUAGAGACCAUAUUCAUAUAUUAGAAAAAGAUUCAAAAUUGUAUUAAAUAUGUUUUAAGUAAGAAUAUAUAUUGUUUAUUUAUUUAUAUAUUAGAAAAUAAUAUAUUUUUUACAUAUCCAUGUAGUUCACAUUAUUAAUAUCAUAUUUUAUUUUAAUCAAUCAUUUUAGUUGAUCGAAAAAAACUAAAAACUUUGUAUUUCAAAAGACUGAUCAUCAGACGUCUUCGUCAGGACAAAACGGCCGAAAUCAAUGUCCACAAACUCAAACUGACGUGGAACUGGGGUGUUACAAACACCCUCUCCACCCCCGAAUUCCGACAACAUAACUAAUCAAGCUUUCAAGAGUCGACGUGGGACGUGGGACUGAGGUGUUACAAACUCCCUCCCCACCUCAAGGUUCUGGCAACUUAACUAAUCAAACUUUCAAAAGUUGGCUCUAAUACUAUAUGGAAUCAGAGUCAAAUUUCAAGUCUUUUUGAAAAAUUGGGUUAAGUUCCAAAUUUUGAAUCCGAAUAUAAAUUCAAAUACACUAGCCAACUGUCACAACUUGGAUAAUUUAAAAGGCCACCACAUACCUCAAAAGAUGAUAAUUUGUUGAUGUAAUUGAAAGUAUUACUUAUAUUUAUAAACUGAACUAAAAUUUUCACACUCCUCGACAUAGAAUUGGACGAGAUGGAACUGGGAUGUUAUAACUUUAUACUUCCAUGUUUCAUGAUAUGCAAAAGCAACAGAAAUGAGUAUCGAUUUAUAUCUCAACAUGUUUUUUUCUAGAUGUGUUAUUUUGAGCAAUUUGAUAUUGAAUUGUUUCCACAGGGGCCUUUCCUCGGAAUAAGGUUUGGUAAAAAACGCAGGACGAAAAAAAAAAUCUGGGAAUAUGCUCCUUUUAACAUAAUUAGUUGAGAAGGCGCGCGCGUUACGGCGGUUUAUAAAAAUUAUAUUAAUGAUUCAAUAUUAAUAUUUGUAGAAUGCAAUAAUUUUGUGGCUGUCUAUAAAAAAUAUAUUAAAAAUCUUAAUAUUAUAAAAAUCUUAUGUAAUACCAAUACUAAUAUAUAAAAUUGCAAAAUUGGAUUAUAAUUCAUGGUGAAAAAAUAUAUAAAUUUCUACAUGUUAUUAACAAUUUAAAGCACGACGAAUCAUAAUUUUAUUUGUGUUUUUUUAAAAAGUAAUCAUUUUCUUACAUUGUCACAUUCCUCCAAAAUUUUUUAAUUGAUUGUGCACAAAAACAUCUAACUUAAAUCCGUGACAUGUCGGUCUAUAACUACCCUUUAUUUUUUAAUAUUAUAUUAACAGUCUUCACUUAAAAGUUGCUUGAACGGAGCAAACAGAUAAUGCAUGAAUAAUAUUUUCCUGUGUACAAAGUAAAAUCAUAUAAAAAUUAACAAUAACAAACCUGUCUGUGAGCAAAACAAAUAUUAUAAAAGAAUAAUCAACAAACAUAUAUCACUAAUAGUUAAUUUAUUGAUAUCAUCUAUCAAUAUCUUGUCAAGAAUAUAUUUUUCUCCCGUGUUUGGAUUAGUCGACUCCCACAUAGCGGUCUAUAACUACCUUUGCUUGCAACAACCUUUAUUUUUUUAAUACCGUAUAAACAGCCUUCACUUAUCGUUGUGGAAGAAUGGCACCACCGAUUUAGAAAUCGAGCAAGAGAACUAUCACCAGAGACAGGUAGGGUUGUGGGAUUGAGAGAGAGUAGGUUGUGUUUAGAUGAUCCGAAACCCUGGAAUCUAUAGGGGUAUUUAUAGGUGCAGAGAGACUUGUGUGCUACUCUUUGAGCGAUGUGAGAGGCGCCACCUACACGUCACUCGCUUCUCCUUUAUAUGGAAACAAAAUAAGAUUAAAACUUUCAUGCUAUUAUAUUCCAUAAAUAAUCUUAAACAAAAUCAGAUUCUGAAACUUGCUUCUAAUAUAUCCGAAACUAAAAAAGAUAGUUCUAAUUUUUGAUAUUUUUCAUCCAAAAAUUCCAGAAAAUUAGAAAAAUAGAACGGAGCGAUGUGAGAGGCGCCACAUACACGCCCCUCGCUUCUCCUUUAUAUAAGUAUAUUAAAAAUUCCAGAAAAUUAGAAAAAUAGAACGGAGCGAUGUGAGAGGCGCCACAUACACGCCCCUCGUUUCUCCUUUAUAUAAGUAUAUUGAUUGAUGAUUUAACCGGGGAAAACUAGAUAAUGCACUUCAAAUAAUUAGCCUUUACCACUUCAAAAUAAUAAAAUCUUAACUUUGUAAGGGAAGGGAAUUCCGUUGUGAAAUUCACAUGCGUUUUGUAUAUAAGAGCAUCUCCAACCAUACAAAGCCCUUGUCUAAAAAAUGAGUUGGCAUCCCAAAAUUAAAAAAUAUAGCCAACGUCCUGAAAAAAUAUCACUCCAACCACGUGAACCUGUUGUCUAUAAUUUUAGCCAACCUCUUAUGGAUGGCUAAAUUUGUCGAACCUCUACAGGUCUGUAGGAAGAUUGCACAUCAUUUAUUACUAUAUUAAACUGAUAUAUUCUAUUUUAACAAUCUAAAAUAUUAAUAACAUACUAUUUUUAAAUUAUAGCCAACCAAUAUAGCCAAUACCAUUGAAGCAAAAUGUAUUACAGGUUCAGCAAAUUUUACAUAAUGUCUUACAAGUCCAAUUUAGCCAACGAUUAUAGCCAACACCGUUGGAGAUGCUCUAAGCAUGUCGAGUUACCAACUCUUAUGAUAUUCUCAACAUCAAGAGACAUUAAUAAACUGCUAAAUGAUCAUAUGCAUGCAAAAGUAAUACUUAAAAGCAAGUCAUAUUGCCAUCAACAGCGUAACAGUAAGUAUAUUAACUGAAUUCUUAACCAUAGGCCAAAAGUGUUUUCUUUCUAAAACUGCUUGCAAAAAUACACCUAAUGGACAAAAGUAGAUGACUCCCAUUCUAGCAAAAAGCUUGGCAUAAACAUGAAGUAUAAUGAUAUGGGUGCAAAAGUAUUGUAGUAUUUCAGUUCAAGUCUAUUCUGUAGUUUUAAUACAGCUGUCAAGUAGUGAGUAUUUGGCGGGAAUUUCAGUUAGAAGUAGUGCCAAAUAUUGGUGCCAGUUGUAUUAAAGUGAACCUAUGCUGUUAUUUUCAUUUUAUGCAAAUACAAUUUCAGUCUCUUUCUCAUCUAUUCUCUUCUCUCCUCUAUUCUCUUCUCCACUCUCUCCCCUUCUGAUAUUGUUGUGCUGCUAAUGGAUGACAAUCCUGUAUCAAUGGUAUCAGAGCAUAUCGUUCCUCUCUAGUAACAUUUUAUACUUGCAAUUGUUGUGAUUCUGGCGCCGUCUACUCGAAAAACUCACGCAGUUGCCUUAAACAUGGACGAGCAAUUGAAGGAACAAUCGAGAACACUGGAUCGCAAAAUCGAGGAGCAAUCACGCUCCUUUGCUAAGAAAUUCGAGGAGAGUGAUCGGAAAAUUGAUGAGAUGAUGAAAAUGAUGCGAGAAGUUAUGGCUGCGCGAUCUACGCCGUUAGCGCGGGAGGAGUCCUCUCGAACAGAUAGUGCUGUGAAUACAGGUACACAAAAUCCUCGUCCUCUCAGCUAUACUCCGAAAGUUGAAUUUCCGAAAUUCAAUGGUAGUAAUGCUAGGGUUUGGAUUAAGAAGUGUGUGAAGUAUUUUAAUUUGUGUAAAAUUCCGGAGGAUCAGAAAGUAGAUCUUGCUUCACUGCACAUGACUGAUAAGGCAGAAAUGUGGAUCUCUAACUACUUGUCUGUCAAGAAGAAUGUGGAAUGGUCUGAGUUUGUAAUUGACUUGAGUGCUAGGUUUAAAGAUGAAUCUGGAUUAAAUGUAGUGGAACAAUUUAACAAGCUACAACAAACUGGUACAAUUGAGGAUUUCAUAGAUGAAUUUGACAAUGUAAGGUCUCUCAUGGAGCAGAAUCAUCAUAUUUUGCCAGAUUCUUAUUUUUUGGACAGCUUUAUUGGUGGCUUAAAACCUACAGUGAAACCUUUUGUGAAAGCAUUUAAGCCUGUAAGUGUAGCUGAAGCUAUUAGGUAUGCAAGAUUACAGGAGGAAUCAAUUCAGGCAAAUUCACAAAAGUUAGGAAAGACCACUAACUCUGUGUAUACAUCCAAGCCAUAUGCCUCUACUGUGUUUAGUGCCACUACUUCUAACAACAGUAAUAAGCCACCUCUGUUGCCAACUCCACAGACCAAACCUGUACAAACAGUACCACCUAAGAAUGGACAGAAACCUUUCAAAUUCAUACCAGCUGAAAUUCGAGCAGAGAAAAUAGCAAAAGGUUUAUGCUAUUAUUGUGAUCAGAAGUUUGAAAGAGGUCACAAAUGCCAAUUCAGAGAAUCACAACUAUUCACUGUGGAGAUACCUAGUUGGCAGGAAGAAAACAGUGAAAGUGAUGAUGAAUCUGUAGAUUUGGAAAAAAUUGAGGCAACUACUGGUGAUCCUUGUAUUUCAGUUAGUGCUUUAGCUGGGAAUAAAUCUUUCAGUACUAUGAGAGUAAGGGGAAUGUGCACUGGCAGAUCAUUACAUGUUUUGAUAGAUUCAGGGAGCACUCACAACUUCUUAGAUUUGCAAGCUGCUCAAAAUCUUAAGUGUGAGAUUCAUCCUAUUGCUACACAAACAAUUACAGUUGCUGAUGGAAAUCAAAUCAAGUGUCAAGGAAUGGUUAAAAACUUUACCUGGAAAUUUAAGGGACAAGAGUUCUGUGCUGAUGUGUUGUUGAUUCCCUUGGGAAGUUGUGAUAUGGUUUUAGGGGUGCAGUGGCUCAGCACACUGGGCACUAUUAAGUGGGAUUUUCAGAAGUUGUGGAUGGAGUUUUUGUAUCAGGACCAGAGUUUCAAAUUGAAGGGUCUCAGCCCUAAAAAGCUUAAGGUAGUAAACUCUCCUUGUUCUGGGAAGUUAUUGGCCACUGCUGCUCAGAUUUGCUUGCUGCAAGUGAAAGAAGUGUCUUCUAUUAACCCUCAGGAACAGACUACUAAAGAUACUCAUCUUAAUCCUCCAAGCAAUGCUACUGAACUUGAGCUCUUAAAAACACAAUAUGCUGAUAUUUUUAAAGAGCCAGAUUCAUUACCUCCAGCAAGAGGAAUAUUUGAUCAUAGAAUACCUCUUCAAACAGGAGCAAAUCCUGUUAACAUCAGGCCUUAUAGAUAUCCCCUCAAGCAGAGAGAUAUUAUUGAACAAAUUAUUGAAGAAAUGCUUGGCAGAGGUAUUAUUCAGAAUAGUACCAGUCCCUUUGCAUCUCCUGUAGUAUUGGUGGGCAAGAAGGAUGGUUCCUGGAGAUUGUGUGUAGACUACAGGGAACUUAACAAAAGCACUGUCAAGGAUAAGUAUCCCAUACCUGUUGUGGAUGAGCUGAUUGAUGAGUUAGCUGGCUCAACUGUUUUUAGCAAAAUUGACUUAAGAGCAGGAUAUCAUCAAUUGAGAGUGCAAGAAGAAGAUGUUUUUAAAACAGCUUUUAAGACUCAUAGUGGUCAUUAUGAGUUUUUGGUGAUGCCAUUUGGUCUCACCAAUGCUCCUGCUUCUUUUCAAGGGUGGAUGAAUUCUAUCUUUAAGCCUCUGCUGAGGAAGUGUGUGUUAGUGUUUUUUGAUGACAUUUUGAUCUAUAGCAGCUCACAGGAGGAUCAUUGGCAGCACCUGAAAAUGGUUUUUGAAUUGAUGAGGGAACAUUCUCUAUAUGCUAAGGAUAGCAAAUGCUCAUUCCUUAUGGCCAAAGUGGAGUAUUUAGGUCAUUUUAUCUCUGCUGUGGGAGUGGAGACUGAUCCAAGAAAGGUUGAAGCUGUAGCUAAGUGGCCAACUCCUGUGUGUGUUAAAGAUUUAAGGAGUUUUUUAGGAUUGGCUGGGUAUUAUAGGAAGUUUAUCAGGAAUUUUGCUACAAUCAGCAAGGAAUUAACAAACCAGUUGAAGAAAGGAGCUUUUCAGUGGAACAGCUCAGCCCAACAAGCUUUUGAUAAUUUGAAAACAGCACUAGUUACAGCUCCUGUAUUAGCAUUGCCAGACUUUAACAAAGUCUUUGUGGUGGAAACUGAUGCUUCCAAAGAGGGAAUUGGAGCAGUGCUGAUGCAAGAUAGUCACCCUUUGGCUUUUCUUAGCAAAGCUUUGGGGCCAAGAUGGCAGAAUUUGUCAGUUUAUGAGAAGGAACUACUAGCUAUUGUCUGUGCUGUACAGAAAUGGGAACAGUACCUCUGUGGGAGUCAUUUUAUUAUUAAAACUGACCAAAAGAGUUUGAAAUGGCUCCUACAACAGAGAAUUUCCACCCCUUUUCAGCAUUUCUGGCUAUCAAAACUGAUGGGUUUUGAUUAUGAGAUACAGUACAAAGGAGGAACUGAGAAUGUGGUAGCAGAUGCCUUAUCUAGAGUCCAGGGUUCAGAAAUUCUUUGCUUGGCCAUAUCUGUAGUAGACUCUGAUUUGAGGCAGAAGAUCAUCAAUGCUUAUAAUGGUGAUGGUCAAUUACAGACUGUAAUUCAGCAAAUUCAGCAAGGAGUGCAGCACUCUAAAUUCCAGCUACUGGAUAAUUUGUUGAGGAGAAAAGGUAAGAUUGUAGUAGGUUUGGACCUGGAAUUAAGGAAAGCAUUAAUGGCUUGGCAGCAUUCUUCACCUGAAGGAGGGCAUGCUGGUAGAGACAUCACUUUACACAGGCUUCAACAACUUUUUUAUUGGUCUGGUAUGUCAAAGGAUGUGAGGCAGUUUGUAAAACAAUGCCUUAUUUGUCAAGCCUCCAAAUAUGAUACCAGUGCUUAUCCUGGACUACUGCAGCCUUUACCAAUUCCUAAUGAGGUCUGGAUUGAUGUGUCAAUGGACUUCAUUACUGGUUUACCAAAUUCUAAUGGUAAAGAGGUGAUUUUAGUGGUGGUUGAUAGAUUGAGCAAGUACUCACAUUUCAUAGCUCUACCACAUAACUUCACUGCACCUUUAGUGGCACAAGCCUAUCUAGAUCAAGUGUUUAAACUACAUGGGUGGCCUAGGUCAAUUGUGAGUGAUAGGGAUCCUAUCUUUUUGAGUAAAUUCUGGAAGGCUUUGUUUACAUUACAUGGUACAGAUUUUUUGCUAUCUUCUUCCUACCAUCCUCAAACAGAUGGUCAGACAGAAGUGGUAAACAGAUGUUUAGAAGGUUAUCUGAGGUGUAUGUGUGCUGAGGUUCCUAAAGAGUGGGCUGCCUGGUUGCCUCUAUCAGAAUGGUGGUUUAACACUCAUUUCCACUCUGCUACUCAAGCAACACCUUAUGAAAUUGUAUAUAAUCAAGCUCCUCCUCUCCAUCUGCCUUAUUUACCAGGAGAGUGUCCAGUUGAGGCUGUGGACAGAAGCAUGCAGAGAAGGGAACAGAUGAUUACUACAUUAAAGGGGCACCUGUUGAAGGCCCAAGUUAGGAUGAAAAAUCAGGCUGAUAAGCACAGGUCUGAGAGGGUUUUUGUAGUGGGGGAAUGGGUGUGGUUGAAACUUCAGCCAUAUAAACAGUUUUCAGUCAAGUUCAGAGGCAAUCAAAAGCUGGCUCAAAAGUAUUAUGGUCCUUUUCUGGUUAAGGAAUGUAUAGGCAAAGCAGCCUACAAAUUGCAGCUACCUGAAGAUGCUCAAAUACAUGAUGUUUUUCAUGUUUCACAGCUUAAAGCAUAUCAUGGGCCUAGUCCAUUUACAGUUGUAUUGCCAGAUUGGAUAGGAUUGUCCAAGAGUUCUAGUGGUGUGUCUUUGUUGCCUGCUGCAAUUCUGGACACCCGUAUGAUCAAGUUCCAAAAUGCGCCGCAAAUUCAGUAUUUGGUGCAAUGGGAGGGCCAACCAGAUUCUGAGGCCACGUGGGAGGUUGCUGCUGUGUUUAGUGCUAAGUUUCCAGCUUUCCCAAUUCCACAAAAGACUUGAGGCCAAGUCUUUAUAAGGGGGAAACUAUGAUAUGGGUGCAAAAGUAUUGUAGUAUUUCAGUUCAAGUCUAUUCUGUAGUUUUAAUACAGCUGUCAAGUAGUGAGUAUUUGGCGGGAAUUUCAGUUAGAAGUAGUGCCAAAUAUUGGUGCCAGUUGUAUUAAAGUGAACCUAUGCUGUUAUUUUCAUUUUAUGCAAAUACAAUUUCAGUCUCUUUCUCAUCUAUUCUCUUCUCUCCUCUAUUCUCUUCUCCACUCUCUCCCCUUCUGAUAUUGUUGUGCUGCUAAUGGAUGACAAUCCUGUAUCAUAUAACUGAGAUAACACUAAUGACAUCAUAAACAUACUUUUACUCGUGCAAGUCCUCAUCUGAACUUGGCCCCUCUUUUAUAGGUGCAAGUCUCCUUUUCUUAGUGGCCUGCUGCACACCGGUACCCAAGCCGUCACAAAUACAUUGCCCUGGCGCACAGGCUGCAGACCUAUCUUCAAGUGCAUCACAAUUUCGGGGAGGUGAUCCACAAUUCUUGGAA